AACGAACGCUGGCGGCAGGCCUAACACAUGCAAGUCGAGCGAGGACUUCGGUCCUAGCGGCGGACGGGUGAGUAACGCGUGGGAACGUGCCCUUUGCUUCGGAAUAGCCCUGGGAAACUGGGAGUAAUACCGGAUGAGCCCUUUGGGGGAAAGAUUUAUCGGCGAAGGAUCGGCCCGCGUUGGAUUAGGUAGUUGGUGGGGUAAUGGCCUACCAAGCCGACGAUCCAUAGCUGGUUUGAGAGGAUGAUCAGCCACACUGGGACUGAGACACGGCCCAGACUCCUACGGGAGGCAGCAGUGGGGAAUCUUAGACAAUGGGUGAAACCCUGAUCUAGCCAUGCCGCGUGAGCGAUGAAGGCCUUAGGGUUGUAAAGCUCUUUCAGCUGGGAAGAUAAUGACGGUACCAGCAGAAGAAGCCCCGGCUAACUCCGU
rnacentral:rRNA from 1 species